ensembl:lncRNA
CACUGGUACUGGUGGUGGUCUGCAUGGUGACUCUAUAAGACCUGUAGUUAUAAAACAAAACUUAAUGGUGUAAUACAUUUUAAGACAUAAUAUACAGCUGUAGGCAUAACUGAGAUUUUAAAUAUGUAGAUGCAGAAUUGUAAUAUUCUGAACACUGAAGUCACCAGUGUAUCACAGGUCUAUUAGGAGAGAAUGUAGUUUAAUUAAUUCACCUGAGAGUUGAGGCAGUCGUUCUUGAUGUUGUGGUGGAAGUGUAGGUUGAUGAGGCAGUCUUUCUUGAUGUUGUUGUGGUGGGAGUGUAGGUUGUUGAGGCAGUCGUUCUUGAUGUUGUUGUGGUGGGAGUGUAGGUUGUUGAUGUUGUUGUGGUGGGAGUGUAGGUUGUUGAUGUUGUUGUGGUAGGAGUGGAGGUUGCCGUGGUGGGAGUGGAGGUUGUUGAUGUUGCUGUGGUGGGAGUGGAGGUUGUUGACAUUAAGGUUGGGGUACUGGAGGGCCUGGAUAAGUUUACAGAUAUAAUGUUGGAAGUCAGGUCAUGUGCCUUCAUUAAA